UGUUAAAAUUUUCAUGUAUUUUUACUGUUAAAAAUUGACAUGACUGAUAGAAUAAUCAGAUACAUACGCAUGACGUGUCACGUGUAACUUAUGCUAACAUAUAAAAACUAAUUUUUAAUAAUAAAAAUAGACGAAAUUCAAUU
rfam:Gossypium raimondii Chr06_contig_427, whole genome shotgun sequence.